UACGAAGGGGGCUAGCGUUGCCCGGAAUCACUGGGCGUAAAGGGUGCGUAGGCGGGUCUUUUAAGUCAGGGGUGAAAUCCUGGAGCUCAACUCCAGAACUGCCUUUGAUACUGAGGAUCUUGAGUUCGGGAGAGGUGAGUGGAACUGCGAGUGUAGAGGUGAAAUUCGUAGAUAUUCGCAAGAACACCAGUGGCGAAGGCGGCUCACUGGCCCGAUACUGACGCUGAGGCACGAAAGCGUGGGGAGCAAACAGG
rnacentral:rRNA from 1 species